rnacentral:misc_RNA from 1 species
GGAAGGAUCAUUAUCAAGUACCGAGUAGCUAUAAGCUGCUCACCAACCAAUGUGAAUUGGGGUGCUCUGAGCACUCUUAGAUAUAGACGAUAAACGAGUCGGAUAAACACACAAUGAAAAACAACUUUUAACAAUGGAUCUCUUGGCUCUUGCAACGAUGAAGAACGCAGUGAAUUGCGAUACGUAAUGUGAAUUGUAGCACCUGUGAAUCAUCAAAUCUUUGAACGCACUUUGCACUUUCUGGGUCUACCAGAAAGUAUACCUGUAUGAGUAUCAAAAACUAUUCUUCAACCAUUGAAGGAGCUCGAGAUUACUGGAGAGUAUUCUUGAAAAUUGAGGAAACGGGUGUCGGCGCUGAGGCUGCUGAUCAGUGAGGUAAGAAAACUUGAUUUUCUCCCGCUACAUUGGCGGCCAGGUCUGGCAUGUAGUUUAACUUUGUACCAAUAAUGAUCUCAUAUCAGGUAGGACUACUCGCUGAACUUAAGCAUAUCAGUAAGCGAAGGAAAAGAAACUAACAAGGAUUCCCUCAGUAACGGCGAGUGAAGUGGGAAAAGCUCAAGUUUUAAAUCUGGGAGGCCUCCUCUCCGAAUUGUAAACUAUAGAAGCGUUUUCUGUGGCGACGGUAGUAAAAGUUCCUUGGAAAAGGACAUCAGAGAGGGUGACAAUCCCGUAUUUGACUACCAUGUCUGCUGCUGUACGAUACGCUUUCUACGAGUCGGGUUGUUUGGGAAUGCAGCUCAAAAUGGGUGGUAAAUUUCAUCUAAAGCUAAAUAUUGGCAAGAGACCGAUAGCGAACAAGUACCGUGAGGGAAAGAUGAAAAGGACUUUGAAAAGAGAGUUAAAUAGUACGUGAAAUUGUUAAAAGGGAAGCGAUUGAAACCAGUAUUUUUGGGCAGAAUUCAGCUUUCUAUGGCACGAGCGCAGUGUUUUGCUACGUGAGGCACUGUGAUUUGUGGCAGAGAGAGUGUACUUUCUGGACAAAAAGUCGACAUCAGUUUUGCGUGCUGGAUAACGAUGGGAGGAAGAUGACCUUUUCUUUGGGAAAGGUUUUAUAGACUCUUGUUUCAACAGUGUGCGGAGACUGAGGAACGCAGUGUAGCUGAAAAGCAUUUCCGGAACCAGUAUUUUGGGACCCUAUUGUAGUAGACUGCAACGCAGACUAGCACGAUGGGUGACUGAGGAAUGGGGAGGGUUACAUACACUUUGGAUGUUGACGAAAUGGUUUUAAACGACCCGUCUUGAAACACGGACCAAGGAGUCCAACAUAUAUGCGAGUAUUAGAGUGGCAAACUCUGAUGCGCAAUGAAAGUGAACGAAUGGGAAGCACUUGAUGCUGCACCAUUGACCGACCUUGAAGUUUGUUAAUGGAUAGGUUUGAGUAAGAGCAUAUCUGUUGGGACCCGAAAGAUGGUGAACUAUGCCUGAAUAGGGUGAAGCCAGAGGAAACUCUGGUGGAGGCUCGUAGCGGUUCUGACGUGCAAAUCGAUCGUCAAAUUUGGGUAUAGGGGCGAAAGACUAAUCGAACCAUCUAGUAGCUGGUUCCCUC